ACCCUACUCCCGUAGGGUUUAGAGUCGUCGGGCCUCUCGGAGAAGCUCGGUCCUGAACUCCACCCUUGAAUAAACUACCUUUGUUGCUUUGGCGGGCCGCCUCGUGCCAGCGGCUUCGGCUGUUGAGUGCCCGCCAGAGGACCCCAACUCUUGUUUUUAGUGAUGUCUGAGUACUAUAUAAUAGUUAAAACUUUCAACAACGGAUCUCUUGGUUCUGGCAUCGAUGAAGAACGCAGCGAAAUGCGAUAAGUAAUGUGAAUUGCAGAAUUCAGUGAAUCAUCGAAUCUUUGAACGCACAUUGCGCCCUCUGGUAUUCCGGGGGGCAUGCCUGUUCGAGCGUCAUUAUAACCACUCAAGCUCUCGCUUGGUAUUGGGGUUCGCGGUUUCGCGGCCCCUAAAAUCAGUGGCGGUGCCUGUCGGCUCUACGCGUAGUAAUACUCCUCGCGAUUGAGUCCGGUAGGUCUACUUGCCAGCAACCCCUAAUUUUUUUAAGGUUGACCUCGGAUCAGGUAGGGAUACCCGCUGAACUUAAGCAUAUCAAA
rnacentral:rRNA from 1 species